GGCCAGCAGCCGCGGUAAUACGUAGGCAGCGAGCGUUGUUCGGAGUUACUGGGCGUAAAGAGUAUGUAGGCGGUCCGGCAAGUUUGGUGUGAAAUCUCCCGGCUCAACCGGGAGGGUGCGCCGAAGACUGCGGGGCUGGAGUGUGGGAGAGGAAAGCGGAAUUCCUGGUGUAGCGGUGAAAUGCGUAGAUAUCAGGAGGAACACCGGCGGUGUAGACGGCUUUCUGGACCAUUACUGACGCUGAGAUACGAAAGCGUGGGGAGCAAACAGGAUUAGAUACCCUGGUAGUCCACGCCCUAAACGAUGCACACUUGGUGUGAGCAGUUCAUUCUGUUCGUGCCGGAGCUAACGCGUUAAGUGUGCCGCCUGGGGAGUACGGUCGCAAGGCUGAAACUUAAAGGAAUUGGCGGGGGAC
rnacentral:rRNA from 1 species